CGGCGCAAUUUAAUAUGAUCUCCGUCUAAACCGGGAGAAGGAGAAAACGAAUAGAGAAAGAGAAAGAGGAGGAGACGUCGAGCGACGGUGUUAUUCCCGGAUUUCAAAGGCGGCGAUCCCUCCGGCACGGGUAAUUUCUGCCCCUUCACGGUUAGUCUAAAGACUGAGAGAUUCAGCCAAACCACCGAGGGAGGGUAAUGCGGGCUCACCCGAUUGAGAUUGACACCCAUUAUGAUGGCCACUUCUAUUAUGAUGUCUGGGGUGGUUAGAGAGCAAGUCACCCUCACAGCCAUUCUUGUUUUACUGGUAAGGACUUAGAUCCAAUAUCCCACUCUUUAUUCACUGAUUUGGAACUAAAAGGCUGGAGGGAGGAUAUAGGGGACCGUAAAUCUUGAGAAACACCCCAGCAGAAGUGUUCUGCAAAAACAAUGUUUCAGAUACUUGGGACCGAUGGAGAUAGAAGCAUAUGAAGUGAUGAUGGAAGAUGGGAGACUAAUGUAUAAAACUGAGCAUGACUCUGUCUGACCAAUUCGACAGAGGAAUACAAGUCGAUUUUUGUACUUGGCACGACUACAAAAUCCCAGCACUCAAGUUUUUUUUUUUUAUCUGGAGGCGCCACUACAGCUGCUUGAAGAUUGGUCGCUCGCGAUAGGAUCCUUGAGGUACGUGAAGUCAUCAGUCUCUGCCUCUCCCUCGGGAAUGAAUCUCUCUCUAUGUUAUGUAAACUAAAAGGUUAAGUUUCUUAGAGGAGCACAAUGUUGAUUGAUCUCACCAAUGUUAAGAGAUAUGUUCGGUGAAAUGAGGAACAUAAUCCACUGCGGACGAAGAAGAAGGACCAAAAGAAGUUGUCAGAGCAAGAAGAGAGGGAGAGAGAAAGAGAAAGAGAGCACAGAAUGCAGUGUUUGAUCCUGUAAAGAUACACUUUUCUUGUAAAUGGACAAGUGGAUAUGGUCCAAGAAUUGGGUGUGUUAGAGAAUGGAGAGCUACAAGCACAAGCGCGGUGGAGCAAGUCAGCCUCUCUCUCCUCGGGUUUCGCCAGCUAAUCUAGUCUAACCAAUAAGAUCUUCUAUAACUAUGUAAAAGUAUUUUAUACUUUCCUUUUAUUGUGUCGUGUAUGUAGAAUUUUUACGUAUCAAGGAAACAUUUUUAGCCCCAUACAGAGGUGUAGUUUGUUUCCCUGUUUUACUAUAUAGUCUUAUGUACUUUCCCCUUUUUGGCCAA